UCUAGGAAGGAAGUAGCAGCUUAUUUAAGUGCCCUUGCUACUCCCCUCACAGCUGGCUGGUCAUUAAUUAACACACUCCACACUGUGCCACUGCUAGUGUGGUGGGACAUACACGAUACCAUGACACCACGACACCCUGGACUUACUGAUACACAGUCUGAAGACACCAUGACACCCAGGGACCCACCUAAACACCUUCCUGGAGAGACCAUGACACCAGGUUGUCAGUACCGGACUUGAUGGAGGUUUCACCAGCCGAUACUCUACUCUGUUGAUGAUGGCUGUGAAUGGCCAGCUGCGAUAGGUGCAACAAAUAUCUGUGCAGAGUUGUGUCCCUUGGGGUGGCAGGAUCAUAUUAUCAUGGACUUCGCGAAAUUACCUUGAUUAUAAUCCUUCCUUUGUCGCACCACACCUGUCUGUUUGGAUUCAGCCAAAUAUAACCGUCUCAGACCUGCAUUUCUUCAGACUUCCAUCCAACAAAAUAUGAACGAUCUGAUCUGCAGGUAGCAGUUGAGAGCGGAUGCCUGCUAUUGUCGGACUGCUGUGACCUGGUGGUGUAUCAUACUCUGACCGCAGGAUCGAUGCUCAGGCUUUCGAUCAGUUUUCCCCGAUCCAGACUGAUAUAAAAUAUUCGCGAGAACUCCUGUAUAUUGCAAGAAUGUUUAAUGUAAUAUUCCUUAAUGAAAUAAUUACUAGUGUUUGAUAUUAUUGUAAAAUAAAGUGUGCGAUAUUG